rnacentral:rRNA from 1 species
GAUGAACGCUAGCUACAGGCUUAACACAUGCAAGUCGAGGGACCGGCGCACGGGUGAGUAACACGUAUCCAACCUGCCCUUUACUCGGGGAUAGCCUUUCGAAAGAAAGAUUAAUACCCGAUGUUAAGGCUGGGGAUGCGUUCCCUUAGGUUGUUGGUGAGGUAACGGCUAACCAAGCCUUCGAUGGAUACGGGUUCUGAGAGGAAGGUCCCCCACAUUGGAACUGAGACACGGUCCAAACGCCUACGUGAGGUAGCAGUGAGGAAUAUUGGUCAAUGGGCGUCAGCCUGAACCAGCCAAGUAGCGUGAAGGAUGAAGGCUUAUGGGUCGUAAACUUCUUUUAUAUAAGAAUAGGUAUUAUAUGAAUAAGGAUCGGCUAACUCCGUGCCAGCAGCCGCGGUAAUUC